CGGCAGCUGGAAUUCUGGCUGGAAAAGGAGCAAACGUUGGAAACCUAUUCUGCACAGCUCCAAAAGUCCUGAAACUCCACGAAACAACUUUUCGGGAUUAAUAAGAAUUUCUGAGCGAAAGAAAUAUGCCAGGGGGCCCAUACCCUGUCCAGGAGACAGGGGGCGCGCCCCCCUAUAGAGCGCGUCCCCCUAUCUCCUAGGCCCCCUAGUGGGCCUCCGACGUCCAUCUUCUGCUAUAUCAUCACUUUUACCCUAGAAAAAAUUGUGGGCAAGCUUACGGGACGAAACUCCACCGCCACAAGGCGGAACCUUGGCGGAAUCAAUCUAGGGCUCCGGCAGAGCUGUUCUGCUGAGGACACUUCCCUCCGGGAGGGGGAAAUCAUCACCAAUGUCAUCACCAACGAUCCUCUCAUCUAGAGGGGGUCAAUCUCCAUCAACAUCUUCACUAGCACCAUCUCCCCUCAAAAUCCUAGUUCAUCUCUUGUAUCCAAUCUUGUAUCAAAACCACAAAUUGGUACCUGGGGGUUGCUAGUAGUGUUGAUUACUCCUUGUAGUUGAUGCUAAUUGGUUUACUUGGUGGAAGAUCAUAUGUUCAGAUCCUUUAUGCAUAUUAUUACUCCUCUGAUUAUGAACAUGAAUAUGCUUUGUGAGUAGUUACGUUUGUUCUUGAGGACAUGGGUGAAGUCUUGCUAUUUGUAGUCAUGUGAAUUUGGUAUUCGUUCGAUAUUUUGAUGAGAUGUAUGUUGUCUUUUCCUCUAGUGGUGUUAUGUGAACGUCGACUACAUGACACUUCACCAUUAUUUGGGCCUAGAGGAAGGCAUGGGGAAGUAAUAAGUAGAUGAUGGGUUGCUAGAGUGACAGAAGCUUAAACCCUAGUUUAUGCGUUGCUUCGUUAGGGGUUGAUAUGGAUCCAUAUGUUUAAUGCUGUGGUUAGGUUUACCUUAAUACUUAUUUUGUAGUUGCGGAUGCUUGCAAUAGGGGUUAAUCAUAAGUGGGAUGCUUGUCCAAGUUAGGGCAGUACCCAAGUACCAGUCCACCCACAUAUCAAAUUAUCAAAGUACCGAACCGAAUCAUAUGAACGUGAUGAAAACUAGCUUGACGAUAAUUCCCAAUGUGUCCUCGGGAGCUUCUUUCUCAUUAUUAGAAAUUGUCCAUGCUUAUCCGUUGCUACAUAAAGGAUUGGGCCACCUUGAUGCACUUUAUUUACUUUAUUUACUUGUUACUGGUUACUAUUUAUCUUAUCACAAAACUAUCCAUCACCUACAAUUUCAGUGCUUGCACAGAAAACCUUACUGAAAACCGCUUAUCAUUUCCUUUUGCUCCUCAUUGGGUUCGACACUCUUACUUAUCGAAAGGACUAUGAUAGAUCCCCUACACUUGUGGGUCAUCAAGACUCUUUUCUGGCGCUGUUGCCGGGGAGUGUAGCGCUUUUGGUGAGUGGAACUUGGUAAGGAAACAUUUAUAUAGUGUGCUGAAAUUUUCUGUUACUUGUCACUAUGGAAACUAAUCCUUUGAGGGGCUUGUUUGGGGUAUCUACACCCCAACCAGAAGAGCAAAGAGUUGCUCCUCAACCUACUGAACUUUAUGAAAAUAUUUACUUUGAGAUUCCUUCGGGUAUGAUAGAAAAACUGCUAGUUAAUCCAUUUGCAGGAGAUGGAACAUUGCAUCCCGAUUUACACCUUAUCUUUGUGGAUGAAGUUUGUGGAUUAUUUAAGCUUGCAGGUAUUCCCGAUGAUGUUGUCAAAAGGAAGGUCUUCCCUUUAUCUUUGAAGGGAGAUGCAUUGACAUGGUAUAUGCUGAUAGUGAAUGGGUAAGCCCUGUCCAUUGUGUUCCUAAAAAGGAAGGUAUUACCGUUGUUCCUAAUGAUAAAGAUGAAUUGACCCCGCAAAGAAUUAUUAUAGGUUAUAGGAUGGUAAUUGAUUUCUGUAAGUUAAAUAAAGCUACUAAGAAAGAUCAUUACCCUUUACCUUUUAUUGAUCAAAUGCUAGAAAGACUAUCCAAACACACUCGUUUCUGCUUUCUAGAUGGUUAUUCUGGUUUCUCUCAGAUACCUGUGUCAGCGAAGGAUCAAUAUAAAACUACUUUUACUUGCCCUUUUGGUACUUUUGUUUAUAGACGUAUGCCUUUUGGUUUAUGUAAUGCACCUGCUACCUUUCAAAGAUGCAUGAUGGCUAUAUUCUCUGAUUUUUGUGAAAAGAUUUGUGAGGUAUCCAUGGAUGACUUCUCAGUCUAUAGAUCCUCCUUUGAUGAUUGUUUGAGCAACCUUGAUCGAGUUUUGCAGAGAUGCGAAGACACUAGUCUCGUUCUGAAUUGGGAAAAGUGUCACUUUAUGGUUAAUGAAGGCAUUGUCUUGGGGCACAAGAUCUCCGAGAGAGGUAUUGAAGUUGAUAAAGCCAAGGUUGAUGCUAUUGAAAAGAUGCCAUGUCCCAAGGACAUAAAAGGUAUAAGAAGUUUCCUUGGUCACGCCGGUUUUUAUAGGAGGUUCAUUAAGGACUUUUCUAAAAUCUCUAGGCCUCUAACUAAUUUAUUUCAAAAAGAUAUUCCUUUUGUCUCUGAUGAUGAUUGUGUAGAAGCAUUUGAAGUACUUAAGAAAGCUUCGAUCACUGCACCUAUUGUUCAGCCGCCUGAUUGGAAUUUACCUUUUGAAAUUAUGUGUGGUGCUAGUGAUUAUGCUGUAGGUGUUGUUCUAGGGCAAAGAGUCGAUAAGAAAUUGAAUGUUAUCCAGUAUGCUAGUAAGACUCUUGAUAUUGCCCAGAGGAAUUAUGCUACUACUGAAAAAGAGUUCUUAGCAGUUGUAUUUGCAUGUGAUAAGUUUAGACCUUAUGUUGUUGAUUCCAAAGUUACUAUUCACACUGAUCAUGCUGCUAUUAAAUAUCUUAUGGAAAAGAAAGAUGCUAAGCCUAGACUCAUUAGAUUGGUUCUCUUGCUCCAAGAAUUUGACUUGCAUAUUGUUGAUAGAAAGGGAGCUGAGAACCCCCUUGCAGAUAACUUGUCUAGGUUAGAGAAUGUUCUUGAUGACCCACUGCCUAUUAAUGAUAGCUUUCCUGAUGAACAAUUAGCGAUCGUCAAUGCUUCUCGUACUGCUCCUUGGUAUGCUGAUUAUGCUAAUUACAUUGUCGCUAAAUAUAUACCGCCUAGUUUCACAUACCAGCAAAAGAAAUAGUUCUUUUAUGAUUUAAGACAUUACUUCUGGGAUGAUCCACACCUUUAUAAAGAAGGAGUAGAUGGUGUUAUUAGACGUUGUGUGCCUGAGCAUGAACAAGAACAGAUUCUACGUAAGUGUCACUCUGAAUCUUAUGGAGGACACCACGUUGGAGAUAGAACUGCACACAAGGUACUACAAUCUGGUUUUUAUUGGCCUACUGUCUUCAAAGAUGCUCGUAAGUUUGUCUUAUCUUGUGAUGAAAGUCAAAGAAUAGGUAACAUUAGUAGACGUCAAGAAAUGCCUUUGAAUUAUUCUCUUGUUAUAGAACCGUUUGAUGUUUGGGGCUUUGAUUAUAUGGGACCUUUUCCUGCCUCUAAUGGUUAUACACAUAUUUUAGUUGCUGUUGAUUAUGUUACUAAGUGGGUAGAAGCUAUUCCAACUAGUAGUGCUGAUCAUAACACUUCUAUUAAAAUGCUUAAAGAAGUUAUUUUUCCGAGGUUUGGAGUCCCUAGAUAUCUUAUGACUGAUGGUGGUUCACAUUUUAUUCAUGGUGCUUUCCGUAAAAUGCUUGCUAAGUAUGAUGUCAAUCAUAGAAUCGCAUCUCCAUAUCAUCCGCGGUCUAGUGGUUAAGUAGAGUUGAGCAAUAGAGAGAUCAAAUUAAUUUUGCAAAAGACUGUGAAUAGAUCUAGAAAGAAUUGGUCCAAAAAACUUGAUGAUGCAUUAUGGGCCUAUAGAACUGCAUACAAAAAUCCUAUGGUAUGUCUCCUUAUAAGAUGGUUUAUGGAAAAGCGUGUCAUUUACCUCUUGAACUUGAACAUAAAGCAUACUGGGCUAUCAAAGAGCUCAAUUAUGACUUCAAACUUGCCGGUGAGAAGAGGUUAGUUGAUAUUAGCUCACUUGAUGAAUGGACAACCCAAGUGUAUGAGAAUGCCAAGCUAUUCAAAGAAAAAGUCAAACGCUGGCAUGAUAAGAGGAUACAAAAGCGUGAGUUUAACGUAGGAGAUUAUGUGUUAUUAUUCAACUCUCGUUUAAGAUUUUUUGCAGGAAAACUUCUCUCAAAAUGGGAAGGUCCCUACGUUAUCGAGGAUGUCUAUCGUUCUGGUGCUAUAAAAAUCAACAACUUCGAAGCCACAAAUCCGAGGGUGGUAAACGGUCAAAGAAUUAAACAUUAUAUUUCAGGUAAUCCUAUCAAUGUUGAAACUAAUAUUAUUGAAACCGUGACUCCUGAGGAAUACAUAAGGGACACUUACCAGAACGUUCCAGACUCCGAAAAGGCAUAGGUAUGUGGUACGGUAAGUAAACCGACUCCAAAACAACUCCAAUAGCAAUUUUUAAAAUGUUUUGGAAUAUUUAAGAAUUUUAGGAAGAAAGAAGUAGUCCGAAAGGGACACGAGGCUCCCACGAGAGUGGAGGGCGCGCCCCCUGUCUCGUGGGCACCUCGUGUGCCUCCCGGACUCUAUUUUCUUGCACGUUACGUAUUUUGGUCGGUAAAAAAUCAUUAUAUAUACUCCCGAAGGUUUUGACCACCGCAUCACGCAAAUAUCCUCUGUUUUUGUUUCGAGCUGUUUCCGUUGCAGAUUUAGAGCACCAUGACUUCACCCUCCUCCAACAACGAAGACAAGGAUGCUUGGCUUUUGAAGAUAGAGCUGAAAAGAGAAGAACCAGAAGAGAUCAACAAGGAUGAAGGGAUCAAGAAAGCCAUGGAGGUUCAAGCUCUGGCGGUGAAAGAAGAAGACAUCCCUCAAUCUUUACCUAACCUCUUUACUCCAACAGAGAUUGAAGCUUUCAAGAUGAUUGAGUUAGCUCGCAUACAGAACAAGUAUCUCACACAGGAGAAUAUUCUGUUGAAGGGUCAUAUUGCUGGGCUUAAGGGCAUUAUCCGCAAGUUGGAGGAACUUUUACCCUCAAUGUGCGAUUAUCCACCGUCAUCAUCACCACCUCCAUCACCUCCUAGUACAUAAUAACAUGGGUAUGGGCACUCCCCUCGGCAACUGCCAAGCUUGGGGGAGGUUCCCCGGUAUCGUAUCACCAUCACACUCCUAUCUUUACCGCUUUAUUUAGUUCGAUCUUUUUAGUAGUAUCUUGAGCUAGUAGAUUGAAGUUUCGAUAUCAAGUAGUUUCGAGUUUUGCUUUGUGAUCUCUUUUUGUAUUCGAGUCCGUGAGUUAUCUAUAAUAAAGAUUAGUGUUGAGUCAAGGGCUUUGCUAUGUUGCUAUGAUCUUGAGAAAGUAGAAAGAAUAAAAUAGUUCAUAUUGAUCUUAUGGAUAGUGAUAACUUCACACAUAGAAAGUAUGAGGCAUAAAAAUUGUUGAGAGUUGAUAAACUUAGCCUUGGUCAUCGUUGCAAUUAAUAGGAAGUGAUAAGGAAAGAGGGGUUCACAUAUAAAUAUAUUAUCUUGGACACAUUUUAUAGUUGUGAGCACUCAUUAGGUAUGACAUGCUAAAAGAGUUGACAUUGGACAACAAAGACAACGUAAUAGUUUAUGUUUUCCAACAUCUCAGUUAAAGUAUAUUGUCAUUGACCUUCCAAACAUGUUGAGCUUGCCUUUCCCCCUCAUGCUAGCCAAAUUCCUUGCACCAAGUAGAGAUACUACUUGUGCUUCCAAAUAUCCUUAAACCCAGUUUUGCCAUGAGAGUCCACCAUACCUACCUAUGGAUUGAGUAAGAUCCUUCAAGUAAGUUGUCAUCGGUGCAAGCAAUAAGAAUUGCUAUCUAAAUAUGUAUGACUUAUUAGUGCAGAGAAAAUAAGUAUUGUACGAACUUGUUGUGGAAGUAAUAAAAGCGACGGACUGCAUAAUAAAGGUCCACAUACAAGGGGCAAUAUAAAGUGACGCUCUUUUGCAUUAAGAUUUUGUGCAUGAACCCUAAACGCACAUGACAACCUCUGCUUCCCUCUGCGAAGGGCCUAUCUUUUACUUUAUGUUUUUACUUUAUGCUUGAGUCAAGGUGAUUCCCACCUUUCCAUUUUUCAUUUUAUCCUUUGGCAAGAUCCUCGUGUUUGAAAGAUCAUGAUAUAUAUAUCCAAUUGGAUGUAAGUUAGCAUGGGCUAUUAUUGUUGACAUCACCUAAAGGUGAAUACGUUGGGAGGCAACACAAUAAGCCCCUAUCUUUCUCAGUGUCCGGCUGAAAUUCCAUAACCACAAGUACUGCGUGAGUGUAAACAAUUGUGGAGGGCUACAAGAUAGUUGAGUAUGUGAACUUGCUGAAAAGCUCUAUUGUUGACUCUUUCUGAUGUUACGAUAAAUUGCAAUUGCUUCAAUGACUGAGAUUAUAGUUUGUUAGUUCCCGAUGAAGUUUUUGAACCAUACUUGACAUUGUGAAUUGGUUGUUACUUGAGCAUAAGAAAUCAUAUGUUAAAAUCUAUAUAUGUUGCUGUUACAAGAAUAAUCAUGAUUCCCUCAUGUCCGUAUUUUAUUUUUAUCGACACCUCUAUCUCUAAACAUGUGGACAUAUUUUUCAAUUUUGGCUUUCGCUUGAGGACAAGCGAGGUCUAAGCUUGGGGGAGUUGAUACAUCCAUUUUGCAUCAUGCUUUUAUAUCAAUAUUUAUUGCACUAUGGGCUGUUAUUACACAUUAAAUCUCAAUACUUAUGGCUAUUCUAUCUUAUUUUACAAGGUUUACCAUGAAGAGGGGGAAUGCCGGCAGCUGGAAUUCUGGCUGGAAAAGGAGCAAACGUUGAAAACCUAUUCUGCACAGCUCCAAAAGUCCUGAAACUCCACGAAACAACUUUUUGGAAUUAAUAAGAAUUUUUGAGCGAAAGAAAUAUGCCAGGGGGCCCACACCCUGUCCAGGAGACAGGGGCGCCCCCCCUAUAGGGCGCGCCCCCUAUCUCCUAGGCCCCCUGGUGGGCCUCCGGCGUCCAUCUUCUGCUAUAUCAUCACUUUUACC
rnacentral:lncRNA from 1 species